CACGUAGGGUGCGAGCGUUGUCCGGAAUUAUUGGGCGUAAAGAGCUCGUAGGCGGUGUGUCGCGUCGGCCGUGAAAACCUGCAGCUUAACUGUGGGCUUGCGGUCGAUACGGGCAUCACUGGAGUUCGGCAGGGGAGACGUGGAAUUCCUGGUGUAGCGGUGAAAUGCGCAGAUAGUCGAGGAGGAACACCGGUGGCGAAGGCGGGUCUCUGG
rnacentral:rRNA from 1 species